rnacentral:lncRNA from 1 species
AUGAGAAAGUUUGAGUUUUUAACUGCUGUUUUUUCUCCCCACAGCCUUGAGUCUCUCAUCAAGACCCCAGGUGAUGUAAGGACUGAAGUGCGCACGCAUGAGUUCAACACCAUUCCCAUCCCAUCUCCCGAAAUCCCAAAGAUGCACAGGAGCGGACAGCUAAUCCACUUUAACCACCUCAUCUAUGCAAACUGUACAUUUUUACCGGUUGUUGGCUGAUCCUGUUUAAAUAAAUGUGAGAUUUUUCAUUCGUAAAGUAAAUUAUCCAGAAAGGAUCAGAAAUGGGAAUCAAACUGUUACACUAUUUUUCCCGUCAUUCCGCCGCUGUGUUCCAUCCAAUUCCCUUCUAUGUGUCCAUGGAAGCACACACACUAUUCCCGGGAGACUUGUUGAAAACCGUUAAAUCUGCCCCGCAGCACGUCAGGUCCCCCUUUAAAGCGUUCGAUGCCGGCUGAUUGUUAAAGGAAAACUUUACCCUUUCUGUGCCUAUACAGUUUGUCAUUCCAUGUGGGGAAUACUACAAGCAGACGUUUUUGGAGAUUUAAAUCGGAAGGUGUCUGGGUUUGUACGAGUCGUCAUAUGUAGAAUAGCUGGUGUGUUUAUUCUUAUUUUCUUUUUUGGAGAACUGUAUGUUGAGAAAUCAGAGGAAAGCCAUGAUUGCCUUGCUACCUCAGACUCACAGACACAGUUUUGUUCUCGUGGUUCUUGUUAAACAGUCGUGAUCACUUACAGUUCUAGCUUACUGUGUUGGUGUACACUGCGACGAGGAUUUACCAAGUAUAUAAUAAAAAAAAAAAAAGAAGUCAUCACUGUACCACGACGCGGACUGCCGAGGCUCCCACUCUGGUUGAUUUUUUUCUGCUCCCACUGGCCUUCUAGCACUGGUCCCUCACUGUGUUGUGUUGUUGUGCUCUAUGCUAUCCUGUAAAAACAUGUGAGGCUGAACAACACUACAAUCAUGAUGAACCUCACCAUGGCAGGACUGUGUCGCCCCUCCUGAGGUGUGUAAAAUAGAUCGACCACACUACAUGUAAUAUGGCUACGUUGUUUUAUUCGAAAUAAAAUUUUUAUAUCAAGAACC